rnacentral:rRNA from 1 species
AUUGAACGCUGGCGGCAUGCUUUACACAUGCAAGUCGAACGGUAACAGGUUAAGCUGACGAGUGGCGAACGGGUGAGUAAUGCAUCGGAACGUGCCCGAUCGUGGGGGAUAACGCAGCGAAAGCUGCGCUAAUACCGCAUACGAUCUGAGGAUGAAAGCGGGGGACCGUAAGGACUCGCGCGAUCGGAGCGGCCGAUGUCAGAUUAGGUAGUUGGUGGGGUAAAGGCUAACCAAGCCAACGAUCUGUAGCUGGUCUGAGAGGACGACCAGCCACACUGGGACUGAGACACGGCCCAGACUCCUACGGGAGGCAGCAGUGGGGAAUUUUGGACAAUGGGCGAAAGCCUGAUCCAGCAAUGCCACGUGCAGGAAGAAGGCCUUCGGGUUGUAAACUGCUUUUGUACGGAGCGAAAAGGCCCUCUCUAAUACAGUGGGCUCAUGACGGUACCGUAAGAAUAAGCACCGGCUAACUACGUGCCAGCAGCCGCAGUAA